GCAGAGGUGUGGCAUUUGCUUGUAUCUCCGUUUCAUUCCAAUGAAUGUUAAUGACGUGUUUUAGCAUUAGCUUAAGCUAAUAUGACGUGGUGUACAUGUAUAUUUUUAACAAAAAGGUUCAGAGAGAAGCAGAUUGUGUGAAGAGUGACAUUUUGGAACGCGUAUGCUCUGGAAAUUUCCUGUUUCGCCGAUGUACAUGUGAUGAAUGAGUUCCUUGGCCAGGUUUUUUUUUCCUUCCUGUGAUAUCUGUUUGAGUUUUGUGGAGCCAGCCGAUGAAUGUUGCCUGAUCUGGAUGUGGGUUGAUCAGGGCGUGAAUCCUUCUCAUUCGUGAAUCGUCUCAACUCCUUCCUGCACUUUCUAUAUGCACGUUGGUGGAGUUGGACUGGCGGGCCACCUGUAGAGUGAAUCCUUAACUUCUUGUGAACUUAACCGUGUGGUUGUCGAACGGUAGGACGGAAAUUACACAACAGCUUGUUUUUUUAUUCGUCCUAAUCCUGGAUCAACUGCACAGACUGAAUUACACCACAUUUAAGGAACUUUUCUUCCGGGAACUGAAUUGAAUUCAUGGACUGAUUUUUAUUUUAUAUUUUUAUUUUUCCAUUUUGAGUUUUUUUUUUAUUCAUAGUGAAUGAACCCUGUGGUUACUGGUUAUACAGUUCAAUAACUGAAAUUUUAUGUUAAACUGAUUGGAUGUUAAUGUUCAAAGAGUGAAAACUAAAUGGGGUUAAAUUCAAGAACCAGUAAUUCAGACAGAAAGGACAGUGAAGUUCAUUUUAUUUAGUUUUAAUUUAUACACAGACAGAUUGCAUUUGGCUUGAUUGAAUUCUGGGCUAAAAAUUAAUUUCAUAAAGUGAAACAACCAUCAAAUUCCUGGAAGAGAAAGGAAAGAGUACAAAUUAGUAACGUGAAUAUUCUUACAUCACUGCAAUUAAAUGAAAUCAACUGUUUCUUAUGUUCAAUACAGUUAAAUCUUGCUCUUACCACAAAA